rnacentral:rRNA from 1 species
UACGUAGGGUCCGAGCGUUGUCCGGAAUUACUGGGCGUAAAGAGCUCGUAGGUGGUUUGUCGCGUUGUUCGUGAAAACUCACAGCUCAACUGUGGGCGUGCGGGCGAUACGGGCAGACUGGAGUACUGCAGGGGAGACUGGAAUUCCUGGUGUAGCGGUGGAAUGCGCAGAUAUCAGGAGGAACACCGGUGGCGAAGGCGGUUCUCUGGGCAUUACCUGACGCUGAGGAGCGAAAGUGUGGGGAGCGAACAGG